GAUGAACGCUAGCGGCAGGCCUAGCACAUGCAAGUCGAGGGGCAGCACAUAAAGUGGUUUACUACUUUUGGUGGCGACCGGCGGACGGGUGCGUAACGCGUAUGCAACCUGCCUCCAACAGGGGGAUAACGGAGAGAAAUUUCCACUAAUACCCCAUAAUAUCAGAAUCGGCAUCGGUUUUGGUUGAAAACUCAGGUGGUUGGAGAUGGGCAUGCGUUGUAUUAGAUAGUUGGUGAGGUAACGGCUCACCAAGUCAACGAUACAUAGGGGGACUGAGAGGUUAGCCCCCCACACUGGUACUGAGACACGGACCAGACUCCUACGGGAGGCAGCAGUGAGGAAUAUUGGUCAAUGGGGGCAACCCUGAACCAGCCAUGCCGCGUGCAGGAAGACGGCUCUAUGAGUUGUAAACUGCUUUUACAAGGGGAUAAAUCGGUGUACGUGUACACCGUUGAAGGUACCUUGGGAAUAAGGAUCGGCUAACUCCGUGCCAGCCGCCGCGGUAA
rnacentral:rRNA from 1 species